ACACAUGCAAGUCGAGGGGAAACGACAUCGAAAGCUUGCUUUUGAUGGGCGUCGACCGGCGCACGGGUGAGUAACGCGUAUCCAACCUGCCCACCACUUGGGGAUAACCUUGCGAAAGUAAGACUAAUACCCAAUGAUAUCUCUAGAAGACAUCUGAAGGAGAUUAAAGAUUUAUCGGUGAUGGAUGGGGAUGCGUCUGAUUAGCUUGUUGGCGGGGUAACGGCCCACCAAGGCGACGAUCAGUAGGGGUUCUGAGAGGAAGGUCCCCCACAUUGGAACUGAGACACGGUCCAAACUCCUACGGGAGGCAGCAGUGAGGAAUAUUGGUCAAUGGACGAGAGUCUGAACCAGCCAAGUAGCGUGCAGGAUGACGGCCCUAUGGGUUGUAAACUGCUUUUAUAAGGGAAUAAAGUGAGAGUCGUGACUCUUUUUGCAUGUACCUUAUGAAUAAGGACCGGCUAAUUCCGUGCCAGCAGCCGCGGUAAUACGGAAGGUCCGGGCGUUAUCCGGAUUUAUUGGGUUUAAAGGGAGCGUAGGCCGGAGAUUAAGCGUGUUGUGAAAUGUAGAUGCUCAACAUCUGCACUGCAGCGCGAACUGGUUUCCUUGAGUACGCACAAAGUGGGCGGAAUUCGUGGUGUAGCGGUGAAAUGCUUAGAUAUCACGAAGAACUCCGAUUGCGAAGGCAGCUCACUGGAGCGCAACUGACGCUGAAGCUCGAAAGUGCGGGUAUCGAACAGGAUUAGAUACCCUGGUAGUCCGCACGGUAAACGAUGGAUGCCCGCUGUUGGUCUGAAUAGGUCAGCGGCCAAGCGAAAGCAUUAAGCAUCCCACCUGGGGAGUACGCCGGCAACGGUGAAACUCAAAGGAAUUGACGG
rnacentral:rRNA from 1 species